CAGCCGCCGCGGUAAUACGUAGGUGGCAAGCGUUGUCCGGAAUUAUUGGGCGUAAAGAGCAUGUAGGCGGUCCUUUAAGUCUGGAGUGAAAAUGCGGGGCUCAACCCCGUAUGGCUUUGGAUACUGGGGGACUUGAGUGCAGGAGAGGAAAGGGGAAUUCCCAGUGUAGCGGUGAAAUGCGUAGAUAUUGGGAGGAACACCAGUGGCGAAGGCGCCUUUCUGGACUGUGUCUGACGCUGAGAUGCGAAAGCCAGGGUAGCGAACGGGAUUAGAUACCCCGGUAGUCCUGGCCGUAAACGAUGGGUACUAGGUGUAGGAGGUAUCGACCCCUCCUGUGCCGGAGUUAACGCAAUAAGUACCCCGCCUGGGGAGUACGUCGGCAACGAUGAAACUCAAAGGAAUUGACGGGGGCCCGCACAAGCGGUGGAGUAUGUGGUUUAAUUCGACGCAACGCGAAGAACCUUACCAAGGCUUGACAUUGAUUGACCGCUCUAGAGAUAGAGCUUUCCCUUCGGGGACAUGAAAACAGGUGGUGCAUGGCC
rnacentral:rRNA from 1 species